GGGCCCGCACAAGCGGUGGAGCAUGUGGUUUAAUUCGAUGAUACGCGAGGAACCUUACCAGGGCUUAAAUGUAGUAUGACCGGCUUGGAAACAGGCCUUCUCUUCGGAGCAGAUUACAAGGUGCUGCAUGGUUGUCGUCAGCUCGUGCCGUGAGGUGUUAGGUUAAGUCCUGCAACGAGCGCAACCCCUAUUCUUAGUUGCCAGCGGUUCGGCCGGGGACUCUAAGAAGACUGCCAGCGCAAGCUGAGAGGAAGGUGGGGAUGACGUCAAAUCAUCACGGCCCUUACGUCCUGGGCUACACACGUGCUACAAUGGUAGAGACAGAGGGCAGCCACUAUGCGAAUAGGAG
rnacentral:rRNA from 1 species